AAUCUGCUCAGUACAAGAGGAACCACAGGUUCAGACAUUUGGUGUGUGUGCUUGGUUGAGGAGCCAAUGGGGUAAAGCCACUAUCUGUGGGAUUAUGACCCAACGCCCCUAAGUCAGAAUCCC
rnacentral:ncRNA from 1 species